rnacentral:rRNA from 1 species
CGGCCGUACCAUGCUGAAUAUACCGGUUCUCGUUAGAUCACCGAAGUCAAGCAUCAUUGGGCGCGGUCAGUACUUGGGUGGGUGACCACCUGGGAACACCGCGUGACGU